GACGAACGCUGGCGGCGUGCCUAAUACAUGCAAGUCGAACGAGUGGCGGACGGGUGAGUAAUGUCUGGGAAACUGCCUGAUGGAGGGGGAUAACUACUGGAAACGGUAGCUAAUACCGCAUACCAUCAGAUGUGCCCAGAUGGGAUUAGCUUGUUGGUGGGGUAACGGCUCACCAAGGCGACGAUCCCUAGCUGGUCUGAGAGGAUGACCAGCCACACUGGAACUGAGACACGGUCCAGACUCCUACGGGAGGCAGCAGUGGGGAAUAUUGCACAAUGGGCGCAAGCCUGAUGCAGCCAUGCCGCGUGUAUGAAGAAGGCCUUCGGGUUGUAAAGUACUUUCAGCGGGGAGGCGUUACCCGCAGAAGAAGCACCGGCUAACUCCGUGCCAGCAGCCGCGGUAAUAC
rnacentral:rRNA from 1 species